CAGAUGUUGACUUCCUCCAGCGUUGCUGACUCACCCCUUCCCCGAUCUUUGAUUUGGGUUGUGUUCCUCCCUAGCAACUUUUCUGAUGUGUUAAUGUCAUUCAUUCUCAGCACAUGACUGACCCAGCAUCUGUUCUUUUCCUAAUGAAUGAAGUACUGGGAGAGAAGGGUAUUCUAUAGGGGAAAAAAGCAGAGCUGAGAAUGCACAGAAAUUUUCAUGUGCUAAGUUUGGAAGUGCAAAAAGAACCAUUCCAGGUGCAGCCCCUCUAUCUUGGACUUCCCAACCCCCAGAACAUGUUUGGGUCCAGACUACCUUUAUGAGCUUUAACGCUCAUCCUGAAGGGCUGCAGCAGAGACCACAAACCCACCAGGAAAGACGAACAACUGCAGACUGGAGGAGUGAACAACUCUGGACGUGCCGCCUUUAUGAAGUAUAACACCACGAAGGUUUGCAGCUUCACUCCUGAGGCUAGUGAGACCACGAAUCCACCGGAAGGAAUGAACAACUCUGGAGGUGCCGCCUUUAAGAGCUGUAGCACUCACCAUGAGGGUCUGCAGCUUCAUUCUUGAAGUUGGGAAGACCAAGAACCCACCAAUUCCGGAGACACUAGAAUUGAUGUUAUAGUUAACAGAGAUGGUGUCAGAAGCAGGAUCCAAAGCGGAGCUUCCAGUGACCUCCAGGAGCACUGAGUGAACAUGCAAGGAUCAUCUGAGAAAUGUAUUGCAAGCAGCAUUUGGUUAUUAUACCCAAAGAGGCCUGGGACUCACAUUCAUCUUUCAGUGCAAUAUUUACUUAAGGUUAUCAU